rnacentral:lncRNA from 1 species
UUUUCAUGUUAACAGUAUUUCUUUAGGUCUCAUUUUUCCAAGAUAAGUCUCAUUUUAUUGUUUGCUCUGAGUUGUUAACCUCUUAUAUCCCUUUGUAUUAUAUCUCUUAACUGAUGUUUGCAGCUCCCCGCAAUGCCUUUCUGUGACCCUAAACCUAAUUGCAAGAUAUUUCCAUCCUUUUCUAAUGCUGAUAAAUUAUAAGGUCUUUAAAGGAAAUUAGUUUUACAUUUAAGUAUGUUCACUGUUAUAAAGUACAAAUUGUAUUUGAAAUUAAAUUUGGCCAGAGGCUUUCAUGUAAAGAACGUUCAUUAUACUUCACAGAUGGAAGUAAGUUGAUGCUUUUUUUUAAUACUUAGAACUGCUGCUCUGAGCUUGCUCCUAAGGUCAGAAUAGUCCAGUAUUGUACUGGAUAGGUUGCUCAAUGUGAUGCUUAACCUUAUGACCCCAUUAUUUUUAUUAUCAGAAUCCAGGAUUGCAAAUGUCUAUGCAAGUAUCCCUAGAACAUUGCAAAGUAAUGGCUCAUCCAGAAGUGCACAAAAAUAUUAACAAAGGGUAUCCAGAAAACUCAGCUACAAUGAUGGGAGAGAGAAAAGCGCAGGUGUUCUUUUGGAAGACUUCAUCACUAAAGAUACAGAAGGAGCAUUUCUGGAAGGCUACAGAGAGAAUAUUAUUUUAUAAAUUUGUAAAGACAUCAAAGACAUUUUAAUUAACCAUUGCAAUCUGAAAAUUGCAUUUUUUGAUAGGGAGAGAGCUGAGGAAUAGUGCUCUAGUAUAUAGUUAGUUAGUCCUGCUAUGUACAUUCCCUCUCAUCCAAAAUAAUUCCUUGGAGACCAGCUUUGCCUUCAGCCAAGGUGGGCCGGGCACCUUUCCUUAAUGAGGAGUCAUUCAUUUGGCCCCAGAAGUCCACUGGAGGGAAUCAAGAUUCCUUCUUUGGGCUGAAUUAUUUGUUAAACUUUUAUAUUUAGUAGUGUUUGCCAUAAUAAAAUGUGAUUUGCAUUUCUUUGUUUGCUUAUA